rnacentral:rRNA from 1 species
AUUGAACGCUGGCGGCAGGCCUAACACAUGCAAGUCGAGCGGGGUUUUCGGACCUAGCGGCGGACGGGUGAGUAAUGCGUAGGAAGCUACCCGAUAGAGGGGGAUACCAGUUGGAAACGACUGUUAAUACCGCAUAAUGUCUACGGACCAAAGUGUGGGACCUUCGGGCCACAUGCUAUCGGAUGCGCCGACGUGGGAUUAGCUAGUUGGUGGGGUAAUGGCUCACCAAGGCGACGAUCCCUAGCUGGUUUGAGAGGAUGAUCAGCCACACUGGAACUGAGACACGGUCCAGACUCCUACGGGAGGCAGCAGUGGGGAAUAUUGGACAAUGGGCGCAAGCCUGAUCCAGCCAUGCCGCGUGUGUGAAGAAGGCCUUCGGGUUGUAAAGCACUUUCAGUAGGGAGGAAGGGUUAAGUGUUAAUAGUACUUAACUUUGACGUUACCUACAGAAGAAGCACCGGCUAACUCUGUGCCAGCAGCCGCAGUAACAC